rnacentral:rRNA from 1 species
CCUACGGGGGGCAGCAGUGGGGAAUAUUGGGCAAUGGAGGAAACUCUGAUCCAGCAAUGCCGCGUGAAUGAAGAAGGUCUUCGGAUUGUAAAGCUCUUUAGUCAGGGAAGAAUACAAUGACGGUACCUGAAGAAUAAGCUCCGGCUAACUACGUGCCAGCAGCCGCGGGAAUACGUAGGGAGCAAGCGUUGUUCGGAAUGACUGGGCGUAAAGGGUGCGUAUGCGGUUAUACAAGGUAGAAGGGGAAUACCCAGGACUUAACUCGGGUGCUGCUUCUAAAACUGUAAGACUUGAGUGCAGUAGAGGUGAGUAGAAUUCCUGGUGUAGCGGUGGAAUGCGUAGAGAUUAGGAGGAACACCAGAGGCGAAGGCGGCUAACUGGAC